CUGGAAGGAGAGAUGGCUUAAAGGGGUACGCGGGCUUCUUCCGCGAAUCUGCUCCAGGAUGGGACUGCGUCCGAUCAGGCUGUUGGCGGGGUAAUGGCCCACCAAACCUGUAACCGAUACGGGCCUUGAGAGAGGUGGCCCGGAGAUGGACACUGAGAGAAGGGUCCAGGUCCUACGGGGCGCAGCAGGCGCGAAACCUUCGCAAUGCGCGAAAGCGUGACGAGGUUAAUCCGAGUGACUCCCGCUGAGGGGGUCUUUUGUCAGCUGUAAAUAGGCAGGCGAAUAAGGGGAGGGCAAGCCUGGUGUCAGCCGCCGCGGUAAUACCAGCUCCUCGAGUGGUCGGGGCGAUUAUUGGGCCUAAAGCAUCCGUAGCCGGUUCCGUAGGUCCUCUGUUAAAUCCAACCGCUUAACGGUUGACCUGCAGAGGAUACCGCGGGACUAGGAGGCGGGAGAGGCGGACGGUACUCCGCGUGUAGGGGUAAAAUCCUUUGAUCCGCGGAAGACCACCAGUGGCGAAGGCGGUCCGCCAGAACGCGCUCGACGGUGAGGGAUGAAAGCUGGGGGAGCGAACCGGAUUAGAUACCCGGGUAGUCCCAGCCGUAAACGAUGCUAGCUAGAUGAUUCAUUCGCAAGUCGCGAAUGAAGUGUCGCAGGGAAGCCGUUAAGCUAGCCGCCUGGGGAGUACGGUCGCAAGACUGGAACUUAAAGGAAUUGGCGGGGGAGCACCACAAGGGGUGAAGCCUGCGGUUCAAUUGGACUCAACGCCGGU
rnacentral:rRNA from 1 species